rnacentral:lncRNA from 1 species
AUUAUUAGCUGUGAUUUUGCUCUAUCAGGUUCAUAUUUUUCUACAAUUGGUAUCAGAGCUUGGUUGGCAAGAAAUUUCUUAAAAUUCGGUGGUUGCAGCUCAGUCUGAUCUUUCACAUCAGAAGAGGGUUUUUUGAGGUUUCUUUGGUGCAAAAGAGCUUGUGUGGAGUAGUAAGAAUACUUACAAUUUAGGGAAGGUUCUGUCUAAGGAGAUUGGUAUUUAAGAGGUCCGCUUGUGACCCUCCAGUCUUUCCUGGGAACUUACCUAGUGAGUUGUGUUCAU